UUGACCUCGGAUCAGGUAGGAAGACCCGCUGAACUUAAGCAUAUCAAUAAGCGGAGGAAAAGAAACCAACAGGGAUUGCCCUAGUAACGGCGAGUGAAGCGGCAACAGCUCAAAUUUGAAAUCUGGCUUCGGCCCGAGUUGUAAUUUGUAGAGGAAGCUUUAGGCGCGGCACCUUCUGAGUCCCCUGGAACGGGGCGCCAUAGAGGGUGAGAGCCCCGUAUAGUUGGAUGCCUAGCCUGUGUAAAGCUCCUUCGACGAGUCGAGUAGUUUGGGAAUGCUGCUCAAAAUGGGAGGUAAAUUUCUUCUAAAGCUAAAUACCGGCCAGAGACCGAUAGCGCACAAGUAGAGUGAUCGAAAGAUGAAAAGCACUUUGAAAAGAGGGUUAAAUAGCACGUGAAAUUGUUGAAAGGGAAGCGCUUGUGACCAGACUUGCGCCGGGCUGAUCAUCCGGUGUUCUCACCGGUGCACUCUGCCCGGCUCAGGCCAGCAUCGGUUCUCGCGGGGGGAUAAAGGCCCAGGGAAUGUAGCUCCUCCGGGAGUGUUAUAGCCCGGGGCGCAAUGCCCUCGCGGGGAC
rnacentral:rRNA from 1 species